GUUGCACCGGAGGUUAUUGGGAAGAAAGGAUACGACGGAGCUACAGCAGAUCUCUGGUCCUGUGGUGUUAUUCUAUAUGUUCUUCUCGCUGGGUUCUUGCCAUUUCAGGAUGAUAAUUUAGUGGCCAUGUAUAGAAAGAUAUACAGAGGUGACUUCAAAUGUCCACCGUGGUUCUCCCCUGAAGCUCGCAGAUUAAUCACAAAGCUUCUCGAUCCAAAUCCAAGCACUCGAAUCACGAUAACCAAGAUGAUGGAUUCCUCAUGGUUCAAGAAAUCAGUACCUAAAACUGUGAGAAGUAAGGAGGAAAUGGAAUUUGAUGCCUUCAACGGAGAAGAAGAUGGCAACAAUGGAGGCAAAUCAAAGCAACCAGAAACACUUAAUGCUUUUCAUAUAAUAUCUUUAUCAGAGGGGUUUGAUUUAUCACCACUCUUCGAAGAGAAGAAAAGGGAGGAGAAGGAGGAGCUGAGGUUCGCCACAACAAGGCCAGCAAGCAGCGUGAUUUCAAGACUAGAGGAGGUGGCCAAGGCAGUGAAAUUCAGCGUGAAGAAGAGCGAGACGAAAGUUAGGAUGCAGGGUCAAGAGAGUGGAAGAAAAGGAAAAUUGGCCAUCGCAGCAGAUAUGUUCGCAGUGACGCCGUCGCUGUUGGUGGUGGAGGUAAAGAAAGAUAAUGGUGACACAUUAGAGUACAAACAAUUCUGCAGCAAAGAGCUGAGACCGGCUCUCAAGGACAUAGUGUGGACGUCUCCUGUUAAUUCUACAAUCGCUUGAGAUGACAAGUGAGAUAUGGAGGUGGUGGGAAAUCGAAGAUUAUUGUUGUGUGAUUGUUAUUAUUGAUUUCGAAUCUU
rnacentral:misc_RNA from 1 species